rnacentral:tRNA from 1 species
UGAUGGUGUUGUAAACGUACUCGAUAUAGUACAAAUCGUUAAUAUUAUUUUAAACUAAUCAUCCUGCUUUGGGAGCAGGGGGUCGCAGGUUCGAAUCCUGCCACCUCGA